GGAGAGGUGACGGAGUGGUUGAACGUGGCGGUCUCGAAAACCGUUGUCCGUCUUUGACGGACCGUGGGUUCGAAUCCCACCCUCUCCG
rnacentral:tRNA from 1 species